UAGUCCACGCCCUAAACGAUGUCAACUAGACGUUGGGCUCAUUAAGGAGCUUAGUGUCGAAGCUAACGCGUUAAGUUGACCGCCUGGGGAGUACGGGCCGCAAGGUUGAAACUCAAAGGAAUUGACGGGGGCCCGCACAAGCGGUGGAGCAUGUGGUUUAAUUCGAUGCAACGCGAAGAACCUUACCAGCCCUUGACAUCCUGGGAAUUUUGUAGAGAUACAUUAGUGCCUUCGGGAAUCCAGUGACAGGUGCUGCAUGGCUGUCGUCAGCUCGUGUCGUGAGAUGUUGGGUUAAGUCCCGCAACGAGCGCAACCCUUGUCCCUAGUUGCCAGCAGUUCGGCUGGGCACUCUAAAGAACUGCCCGUGAUAAGCGGGAGGAAGGUGUGGAUGACGUCAAGUCCUCAUGGCCCUUACGGGUUGGGCUACGACACGUGCUACAAUGGCAAGUACAGUGGGUUAAUCCCCGAAAACUUGUACUCAGUUCGGAUUGGGGUCUGCAACUCGACCCCAUGAAGUCGG
rnacentral:rRNA from 1 species